rnacentral:rRNA from 1 species
GACGAACGCUGGCGGCGUGCUUAACACAUGCAAGUCGAACGGAAAGGCCCUGCUUUUGUGGGGUGCUCGAGUGGCGAACGGGUGAGUAACACGUGUGUAACCUGCCCUUGACUUUGGGAUAACUUCAGGAAACUGGGGCUCAUACCGGAUAGGAGCUCCUGCUGCACGGUGGGGGUUGGAAAGUUUCGGCGGUUGGGGAUGGACUCGCGGCUUAUCAGCUUGUUGGUGGGGUAGUGGAUUACCAAGGCUUUGACGGGUAGCCGGCCUUAGAGGGUGACCGGCCACAUUGGGACUGAGAUACGGCCCAGACUGCAACGGGAGGCAGCAGGGGGGAAUAUUGCACAAUGGGCGGAAGCCUGAUGCAGCGACGCCGCGUGCGGGAUGACGGCCUUCGGGUUGUAAACCGCUUUCGCCUGUGACGAAGCGUGAGUGACGGUAAUGGGUAAAGAAGCACCGGCUAACUACGUG